AGGAGUGUAGCUUAAUUGGUAGAGCGCUGGUCUCCAAAACCAGAGGUUGUAGGUUCAAUCCCUACCGCUCCUG
rfam:Wolbachia endosymbiont of Onchocerca ochengi complete genome, strain wOo